CGAGGCCCGGGUGAACGGCACGAGCAUUCGGGCGUUGAGUGGCUCGAUGGUGGCCUACGAAGGCAACGUGUCGUUCAAGUCAGCGGGUUUCGGC
rnacentral:tRNA from 1 species